rnacentral:tRNA from 2 species
GCGGGUGUAGCUCAAUGGCAGAGCUCCAGCCUUCCAAGCUGGUAACGUGGGUUCGAUUCCCAUCACCCGCUCCA